GACGAACGCUGGCGGCGUGCUUAACACAUGCAAGUCGAACGGAAAGGCCCUGCUUUUGUGGGGUGCUCGAGUGGCGAACGGGUGAGUAACACGUGAGUAACCUGCCCUUGACUUUGGGAUAACUUCAGGAAACUGGGGCUAAUACCGGAUAGGAGCUCCUGCUGCAUGGUGGGGGUUGGAAAGUUUCGGCGGCUGGGGAUGGACUCGCGGCUUAUCAGCUUGUUGGUGGGGUAGUGGCUUACCAAGGCUUUGACGGGUAGCCGGCCUGAGAGGGUGACCGGCCACAUUGGGACUGAGAUACGGCCCAGACUCCUACGGGAGGCAGCAGUGGGGAAUAUUGCACAAUGGGCGGAAGCCUGAUGCAGCAACGCCGCGUGCGGGAUGACGGCCUUCGGGUUGUAAACCGCUUUCGCCUGUGACGAAGCGUGAGUGACGGUAAUGGGUAAAGAAGCACCGGCUAACUACGUGCCAGCAGCCGCGGUGAUACGUAGGGUGCGAGCGUUGUCCGGAUUUAUUGGGCGUAAAGGGCUCGUAGGUGGUUGAUCGCGUCGGAAGUGUAAUCUUGGGGCUUAACCCUGAGCGUGCUUUCGAUACGGGUUGACUUGAGGAAGGUAGGGGAGAAUGGAAUUCCUGGUGGAGCGGUGGAAUGCGCAGAUAUCAGGAGGAACACCAGUGGCGAAGGCGGUUCUCUGGGCCUUUCCUGACGCUGAGGAGCGAAAGCGUGGGGAGCGAACAGGCUUAGAUACCCUGGUAGUCCACGCUGUAAACGGUGGGUACUAGGUGUGGGGUCCAUUCCACGGGUUCCGUGCCGUAGCUAACGCUUUAAGUACCCCGCCUGGGGAGUACGGCCGCAAGGCUAAAACUCAAAGGAAUUGACGGGGCCCCGCACAAGCGGCGGAGCAUGCGGAUUAAUUCGAUGCAGCGCGUAGAACCUUACCUGGGUUUGACAUGGAUCGGGAGUGCUCAGAGAUGGGUGUGCCUCUUUUGGGGUCGGUUCACAGGUGGUGCAUGGCUGUCGCCAGCUCGUGUCGUGAGAUGUUGGGUUAAGUCCCGCAACGAGCGCAACCCUUGUUCACUGUUGCCAGCACGUUAUGGUGGGGACUCAGUGGAGACCGCCGGGGUCAACUCGGAGGAAGGUGGGGAUGACGUCAAGUCAUCAUGCCCCUUAUGUCCAGGGCUUCACGCAUGCUACAAUGGCUGGUACAGAGAGUGGCGAGCCUGUGAGGGUGAGCGAAUCUCGGAAAGCCGGUCUCAGUUCGGAUUGGGGUCUGCAACUCGACCUCAUGAAGUCGGAGUCGCUAGUAAUCGCAGAUCAGCAACGCUGCGGUGAAUACGUUCCCGGG
rnacentral:rRNA from 1 species